rnacentral:misc_RNA from 1 species
UUAAAAAUUUGCGAAACGUGCUUUUGUUUGCAAGAACUUAAAUCGCUUAAAUUUAGUUUAUUAGUACUAUUAAAAUGCCACAAGGUAAAUUUAAAAAAGCCAAAUUACCUGCUGCCAUACAGAACAAGAAGAAGCAGCAGAAACAAGCAGCCUUCACACGCAGAGCAAAUGCUCCCAUACAAGCCAAGAAGGGAAAAUUUAACGAAACCCAGAAAAUCAAGGCGGUCAUUUCCAAAUCAGUUAAUAAAUGUGUCGAAAGCGAGCUGCGUUCGCGUGCACACGAAGGUUACAUACAGCUAAGCAAAGCCCAAGAGGCGGUCGCCAAGCAUCAUUCGACGCAGGCCGCAGCCGCGGCAGCGGCAGCGACAGCCGCCAGCACAGACAAAGCGCGGGAAUAGUCUUAUAUGAAAAACAGCUCUCACAAUUGUUUGGCAUUAUUCUUUUUGGUUAACCCAACCAUUUAAAUCCCGUACACAAAACAUUUCAUUAACUAAAUUAAAAUAAAACCGGGAUAACCCACAAACAGUCAAACGGAUUUUGUUGUGUUGUGUUAAAAUGUUAUUGCCUCCUACUAAUAAAUGGCAAUAUGUAUUUGGAUUUUUCGAUGCAAAGGAACAUGCUGCAAGUGUCACGGCAAAUGUGUAUAUGAGGCUGAGUAUAAAUUGACACACGGCAAGGAAUUAGUACAAAAGUGAAUCAUCUAAGUAUCAACAGAUACUAAUGUGGAUGUCAAUAAGUUG